rnacentral:rRNA from 1 species
GUAAGAACCUUACCUAGGUUUGACAUCCCGGGAGUCUCUUGAAAGAGAGAUGUGCCCUUCGGGAGCCCGGAGACAGGUGCUGCAUGGCUGUCGUCAGCUCGUGUCGUGAGAUGUUGGGUUAAGUCCCGCAACGAGCGCAACCCUUAUCUUUAGUUACCAGCACUUCGGGUGGGGACUCUAGAGAUACUGCCCCGGUCAACGGGAGGAAGGUGGGGAUGACGUCAAGUCCUCAUGGCCUUUAUGCCUAGGGCUACACACGUGCUACAAUGGGCGGUACAAAGGGUCGCGAUGCCGGCGAGGUGAAGCCAAAUCCCAAAAAGCCGUCCACAGUUCGGAUUGGAGUCUGCAACUCGACUCCAUGAAGCCGGAAUCGCUAGUAAUCGUGGAUCAGCAUGCCACGGUGAAUUACCGGUUCCCGGGCCUU